UACGUAGGGGGCAAGCGUUGUCCGGAUUUAUUGGGCGUAAAGAGCGUGUAGGCGGUUUGGUAGGUCCGUUGUGAAAACUCGAGGCUCAACCUCGAGACGCCGAUGGAAACCAUCAGACUAGAGUCCGGAAGAGGAGAGUGGAAUUCCUGGUGUAGCGGUGAAAUGCGCAGAUAUCAGGAGGAACACCCGUGGCGAAAGCGGCUCUCUGGGACGGUACUGACGCUGAGACGCGAAAGCGUGGGAGCAAACAGG
rnacentral:rRNA from 1 species